rnacentral:lncRNA from 1 species
GGGUUUAAUCAUUGAUAGAAUUCAAAAUACAAUUUCUGAAGUGGAUAAGAAGAGGUUCAUCUACCUUGGUGAUGGUGCUGGUGAUUAUUGUCCUAGUUUGAGGCUUAGAGAAAGAGACUUUGUGAUGCCAAGGAAGAAUUUUNNNNNNNNNNNNNNNNNNNNNNNNNNNNNNNNNNNNNNNNNNNNNNNNNNNNNNNNNNNAGAAGAGUUGGAACAAGUUUUGUUGCACUUGAUCAAUAAAAUUAUGAUGGAGGAACAUGUUCAAUUCAUUUCAACUGAUUGCAAGUUGCAAACUCUAUCUAUGCCUGUGCUUGAAUCAUUGCCUAAAGCUCUCUCAGUUAGGCCAUAAAUUUUUAGGGUCAUUGCAAAUGUAUCUAGGCUUUUUUUUUGGUCCUUAAAGUGACUUUAAUAAACUUUUUCUUGAAAUUGGUCUAUGAUGGGAAAUGGGAAAAUACAAUGUCUAUCUAAGACAAUUACCAAUUUGCCCUACAUCUUGUAGAUUAUUUAGUUUAACAGCUAAUUGCUAUGUAAAACUUUAUAAAAUACUGGUCUAUGGUUUGAGAAUGGUUGGUUAGUAGGUAGUUUCUUACUCAUCACAAUGAGAUGAACUCUUUGAUCGUGGUUAAUAUUAUCAUAUCUUGGAAAGCUCGGAACUAUCAUUUGUUCCCUCUCUUCAAGAAUUUUUAUCUCUGGUGAAUUCAAUAAACUGAAAUUGUGAGAUCAAACAUAUUUACCGCGCAAAAACUCAAUUAUUGUAUUGAUCGUCUAACAAAUUUUGGUCAUGGUGGCGAGUUUGAUUCGGUAGAGUUUUCAUCCUAAUCCCCAUCCUUUUCUAAAGCUUUUACUUUGAAAUUAAAUUAGCAUUUAAUCCCAAAAACAAUUGGACCUAUUAUGUUUUUCUCGUUAGCAUGUGGUAGCAGCAUCCACAAUAUAGUACUGAAUUUUCUAUUUUUUUUAUAAAUCAUGUAUAUUAAUCAUCAAGUGAUUGACUACAUGCAUGAUACCAUCGAUAUAUCUUAUAACUUAAUUCAUUCCAUCUAAUUGUUCAUACAUAAAUAUGACUCUUCAAAUCAUGUAUGUCAUGUGAAAAUGAAUAUUAAACAUAUUUUUAGAAAUACAAAGUUUUUGUAAAUUCUAACUUCUCUAUUCCGAAUCCAUAUAUUUUAUAUUCUACUAUCUAUCAAAUAAGUGAACUUUUAAAAUAAUAUCAUAAAAUUUUAUAACUUAUUUAUUUUUUAGACAACUUAUAAAUUUCAUCGGUUAACACUUUGAACUUAGGUGAAAAAUAUGAUCAACAUUAAUUAUUUUUUGGUCACUAAUUUCUCUUUAUAUACUCUUUUUGUAUUUUCAUCUUUUUCUUUUAUUCUUCUUUUUUUCGGAAUACAUCAAAAUAGUAAACACUUGCUUAUAAAAAAAAAAACACUUAUUUCGAUAUUUUUUCGGGAAAAAAAGUUUCGAUUUCAAAUAAAAACAAUUCUGAAGUUUUUCUGAAAAAAAGUUUCCGUUCUUUUUUAGGUAAAAAAGUUUCGGAUAUUUUCCGAAAAAAAAAGAUUUCGAUUUUUUCUGGAAAAAGUUUCGAUGUUUUCCGGAAAAAAGUCCCCGGUUUUUGGGAAAAAUAGUUUCGAAAUGUUCACCUGAAAAAAUAUUGCUGAUACAAAAAAAAGUGAAAAAACAGAAAAUAUUUGAAAAAAUUUUCCGAAUAAAAUAUCGGAACUAUUUUGUUCCGACAAAAUCUCCGGAAUUGUUUUUAUCUAAAAUCAAAAUUUUUUUCCCAAAAAAUCGGGAACUUUUUUUCUGAAAAAAAAACAAAAAAAAAAAAUUUCCAAAAAAAUAUCGAAAUUUUUUUUCCGAAAAAAUCGGAAACUUUUUUUCAAAAAUAAAAAAUAAUAUAAUACUGACAGUACACCAUAAUAUCAUGUACACAUUCAAUCCGGUCCACAAAACAUAUGGUGCAUUGAUGAAAGACCUAUCAUGACCUCCCACUCUAGAAUCCGCCUAGAAUUAUUCUGUGCAUGUAACUCCGCAACAACAACUCAUAAUCCAUUUUUUUUCUUUCUCAUAAGAUUGGAGGGUUAGUUAUAAACAAAAGUGCAUGUAACUCAUUAGUCUAACUAACCCUAAUCUAUUUCAAAUCAUCUAAUCCAACAGCUGAAAUUAAAUUUUGAAAUAUAGUUAGAUCAUGUGUUCCAUAUUUCACUACAAAGCAGUUUUUACGUUAAACAAAUCCAGCGAGAAAUCCUUAUAAAUUACCUAUUAUUGUGAACAACUUUUACAACAAAAAUACUCACUCUAUACUUCAUAACAUAUAUCAUUCUCAUUCCCUUUCUCGUCUCUCAAAGAAAACAAAAUGUCUAACAUUGUUAUUGUUUUCGACUUUGACAAAACCAUCAUUGAUUGUGACAGUGAUGAUUGGGUCAUUGAUCAAUUUGGUUUCACUGAUUUCUUCAAUCACCUCCUUCCCACCACGCCUUUGAAUUCCCUCAUGGUAUAUCUCUCUCUCUCUCUAUGUGCUCUAUUUUAUAUACAUAAUACAUAUUUUUUCUGAGAUAGAUACGACACCAAACACAUGCAAUAACAUCACAUUAUAUAUAUUUUAAAUUAUUCUAGGUGUAAAUGUUUCAGUGUCAAUUCUUUAAGUUACAACACAAUCACAACUAAUGAUAUCUUAAAACCCACUUGAGUUGGUCUGGUUGUAUUGACUUGAGAUCCGGGAGUGCGCUCCUCUUUAAGGUCUCAGGUUUGAUUUUCGUGCCAAUUUAGGUGGGCUAAUUUAGUUUUUUAGAAAAAAAACUAAUGUUUUCUCAAUUUUUUAAUCUUCAUUAGUCAACUGGAAUAAAUAUCUGAAGUUUAUGUUGUUUUUUUUUUGGAAUUAUAGCAAAGAAUGAUGAUGGAGUCUCAUUCACAUGGUAAAAGCAUUGAAGACAUUGAAAAAGUUCUUGAUAGGAUUCCUAUUAACCAAAGAAUAAUUUCUGCAAUUAAAUCAGCACAUGCUUUAGGGUGUGAUUUGAGGAUUGUGAGCGAUUCCAAUACAUUUUUCAUUGAAACCUUUUUGAAGCAUUUGGGAAUAAGUGAAUGCUUCUCAGAGAUUAACACUAAUCCUGGUUAUGUUAAUCAAGAAGGAAGAUUAAGAAUUUUGCCUUAUCAUGAUUUCAAUAACGCUUCACAUGGUUGCCCUCUAUGUCCUCCAAAUAUGUGCAAGGUACAGUUCAUGAUUUUAAUUAAAUAUUUUGAGUUAAAUAUGUUUUUGUUUUAGUCCCUAUUCAAUUAUGGGUCUUACUAACGAGUCCGUCCGGACGAGACGAUCUUUAAAUUGAGAUUUUCAAUACUUUUAUUGUUAUCUUUUGAAUUUUUUUAAAAAUUCAUAUUUAAUUCUNNNNNNNGUAUUACAGGGUUUGAUCAUAGAUAGAAUAAAAAAUUCAAUUUCUGAAAGGGGUAAUAAUAAGAGGUUUAUUUAUCUUGGUGAUGGUAUUGGAGAUUAUUGUCCUAGCUUAAGGCUUAAAGAGAGAGACUUCAUGAUGCCAAGGAAGAAUUUUCCAGCUUGGGACUUAAUAUGCAAAGACCCUUCACUUCUUAAGGCUGAAAUUCAUGGUUGGAGUGAUGGAAAAGAGUUAGAACAAGUUUUGAUGAAGUUGAUUAACAAAAUUAUGAUAGAGGAAAAUUAUGAUAGAGCAAGCUGCAAUCUCUAUCAAUUCCUGUGGCCAUAGAAUUUUAGUUUACAAUUAUUGCAAAGUGUAUAAUUGGUUUUUCAUGUAUGAUUUGAUUAACUUUAAUCAAACUUUUCUAAUAAGAUUUGCAAACUAGCUAAACAUAUGGCUACUUUUGCAAGAGCAUGAAUGACCUUAUCGACUUGACUCCUAACGAACUCUAGAUAGGAAUUCCUCUAAAAAUAGACACCAACAACUACUAAUAAUACUACCAAACUCAAAGUGCUCUUGUUUGUUGUCAUAGAAUGAAUAUUAAAUAUAUAUUAAGCNNNNAGAAAUACAAAAUGACUGUAGAGUUGGGCGCCGACCAAGGUGAUUGUUUUUUCUUGGCAAGCCCUUCUUGCCAGUUACUUACUAGGGAGAAUUUGGUGAAGAGAGGCAUUGCUAUUGAAGGGCCUUUUGCGGGUUGCGUGUUGUGUGGAGAGGGUAGAGAAACGAAGGAUCACUUGUUUGCUUCUUGCUCUACGGUUUGAGAGGUUUGGUCCAAGGUUCAUCGGUGGUUUGGUUUGUCGUCAGUUGUUCCGUGUACGAUUGGCUCCUUAUUUCAAGGCUUUCUUUCACACAUUCGUUGAGCCUUUUGAUUGUAUAGUUCGCUAGUUUGGGCGUGUUUAGUUCGAUCAAAUGAUGUGUAUUUGAUUUUUUUUUUUUUUUGGUUGCGUACUAUUUGUACUUCUCCUACUGUUGUGGGUAGAGUAUCUCUUGUACUUUCUCCUUUUAUAUAUAUAUAUAUAUAUAAUCUUUUGCGGUUAAAAAAUAAAAUAAAAUGACCUCGAUUAUAACUAUUGCAUUUGUAUUAUGUUAUAUUAUCUAUCAAAUAAGUGAACAUUUUAAAAUAACAUCAUAAAAUUUUGCAACUUAUUUUUUUUAACAAAUUUUAAAUUUAAUCCCUUUGAACUUGGGGGAGGAACUUACUUUUAAUUUAGAAAUUUAAAAGUAACGAAUUUUAAUUUCUUAUACUCGAAAGACCAAGAGUAUAAGAGUAAAUAAAAUAAGUUUUAUACGUAAAGACAUCACAUUUUACAGGUAAGAAUCAGAAUUCGAAUCCAAACACUUUACUUAUUCUCAUCUUAAAAUAAUUUAUUUUUUUUAAAAUAUGUUUGAACCCUCCUACAAAAUUAUACGUGAAGCUCUGACACAGCAUAUUUUUUUUUUUUGAUAAGAAAAAAUUGAAUUAUAAGAAGUACUAGGUGUACUCAAACCUUACAAUUCAAGAAAAAAUAAACUGUUAGAUGCUAGAAAUGCACACUAACGGGUCAUUACACCAAUCAGAAAAUACAAAAGAAGAAAUAUUCCCUAUUCAUCCUAUAAACCAAAACCAGGAAAUAAACAUAAUUUGAUCAACUAAGGAAGACAAAUUAACCACUUCUCCUCUAAACAUGAUGUUAUUGCGUGCACGCCAUAUACUCCAAGUGGUUGCUAACCAAAUUAUAUGCCUUACUUUCUUAUGCUUCACCAAACUGCCAAAAGUGUUAAAAUGCUUCCAUCCUUCUUCAAAGGGUAUGAAUUCCACAUUCAACCACCUAAAAAUUUUCUUCCAUACUUGUAAUGAAAAAGAACAAUUAAAAAUAAAUGGUCGAUGUCUUCUUCUUCUCGGAAACAAAACGCGCAACUAAAUUCAUGAGGAUUGACAAUAAUAUUUUUUCUCGCCAAAGCCAUACGUGUCGGAAGUCUUGCUAAUAAUAACCGCCAUCCGAAAAUGAUCACUUUGGAAGGAACAUCAUUCUCCCAUAAAUNNNNNACGUUACUGUCAAAAGUCGAUUGUGCAUCGCGAUUUUGAAGGAAAACAUAAGUUGAGCGCACCGAAAAAAUGCCGGCAUGGUUUGGGAUCCAUUUCCUGCGAUCUGGACUGUCUGGCGUUGGACUGAUAUUUGUCAAUAUGCAUGUUAGUUCUGAUAAAGCUUUCAUCUCGGUUGAUAGCAAUUCCUCAACCCAUUGCAAGUGCCACUGCCAAUUGCUGUCAUUCCAAGAGCCAACAUCUGUUACUACAGCCUCAUGAUUCAAAGCUUUGUUAUACAAUUGUGGAUAAAGAUAUUGCAAGCUAUCAUUCCCUAACCAUUUUAUUUGCCAAAACCGAAUGCUAUCUCCUUUGCCCAACACAGUACACACAUUGGAUUUGAACCAAUCACCAUUAUCUUCUCCUCCUACCUUCAUGAUAUCUCUCCACCAUAAUGACUGUCCUUUUUCAAACCUAUUCAUGGUGCACAAAAAAAUUUUGUCCAUUGAACCAUAUCUAUGUACUAAUAAUUUGCACCACAUGGAAUCUCCUUCGUUAAGUGCUCUCCAUUUCCAUUUGCAAAGUAAUGCUUGAUUGAAAAUGUCAAGGUUUUUUAUACCCAAUCCUCCUUUCUCCUUUGAUAAACAAAUAUUAUCCCAACUAAUCCAACAAAUCUUCUUUCUAUCCAAACCACCUCCCCACAAAAAAUUUCGUUGGAUACUUAUCAAUUCUCUGACACAGCAUAUUUGAUUCAUCAAGACAUUAUUUUAAGUUGACCCAAAAAUAUUAAAAUAGAAAACCACUAAAACUGCCCCCAAUUAAUAAGCUUUUAUGUUCUUCCAUGUUCACAACUCUUUGUUAAUACACUCACUGCUCAGAGUCUUUAGUAGUUAGUACUGAGAUGAGAUGAGAAGCACCAACCAUUCCCUAGUAAAUACAGGGUCUUGGGAUUUUAGUGAUCUCAAUUACUUUCCUUUUACUAGAAACUCUAAUAUGUUUUAGCUUACUAUGUUACAUUAAAAUAUUGUGCUACAACCAAAUAUGAGUUGUUCAAUCCAAAUGCAAUGAUUUAGGUUUGUUUUCUUCAACAAAUUCAACAACUUAAUUAAGAAUAUCCAAAUUCAUCUAUAGAACAAAAAAGGUAGAUUAUACACAAGUUAUACUCAUCAUUCAUAUUUCAAUUGAUUUUUUACCCAAAAAAUUAAAUCAUUAAAAACAAUUAUGCAUAAGAAAACCCACAACAACAAAAAAAGUAUUCAUACUAUAUGUUAUGAAACAAAUGUGUUAUUCAUACUUAAUUUCUAAUAUACGGUAUUUUUCUAAAUAAUGUCGUGUUCCUUCAUUGAAUAUAUUAAAUAAAUUCAAAAAAAAAUAUAAUACACCUAACACAUAUAACAAGAUAUAUAGUGUGUUUAAAAAUCCCUACGAAAGGACAGUCUUAGAUGUAUAAACCGGAACAAGAGUUACGGCAAGACCAAUACCAAAUUCAUCAAGUAGUCUUGCUAAACACAAGACAAAUAACCACAGUAUAACCAAACCGCCAAAGAAAUAUAGCACGGAUAAGAUUAUCAACAAUGGUCUCCGAUCAGGCCAAACCGUUAUUCAAUCAUAGAAAAUUUUAAUUAGUGUAGCUCCAAUGAUAUAAACGACAACCACAAUUUUGAAGAAUCACUCAUUUUGAAGAAGGUAAGCUUCCUUUCAGAUACCUUGGAAUUCCCAUGACUAGUAAGAAAUUAGCUAUACACAACUACAUGGACCUGAUUGAUAGAAUAGUUGGAAGAAUCACUCAUUGGAGUUCUAAACUCCUAAGCUACGCAGGGAGAAUUCAGCUUCUCAAAAGUGUAAUUUUUGCUAUGACGAAUUAUUGGAUGCAGUGCUUGCCUUUCCCUAAAGCAGUGAUACGUAAGAUUAACUCCAUAUGUCGGACUUUCUUCUGGACGGGUAGUAUAGAGAAAAGCUGUAAAGCCCCCGUUGCUUGGAAAUCUGUGUGCCAAACUAAGCGUAAUGGUGGUCUGAAUCUCAUUGACCUUGAGGGUUGGAAUCAUAUUUCUUUGCUGAAACUGUUAUGGAAUCUUUGUGGCAAAUCAGAUAGCCUUUGGGUAAAAUGGAUCCAUGCAUAUUAUAUUAAAAACCAGCAGAUCAUGGAGGCUUAUAUACCAGAUAAUGCCUCCUGGAUAAUGAAGGCUGUUAUGAAGCAACGCGAGUGUACCCUUCAAAAUCCGGUGUGGACAGAGAUGUUGAAUGCCCAGAAAUUUAAUAUGAAAAAGAUGUACUUGGCUAAUUAUGAAAGAUCUCAAAGUGUUCCGUGGAGAACUUUGUUCUAUGGAAACGUGGCCCGUCCUAGAGCUCUUGUCAACCUCUGGCUUGCUUGUAAUGGGAGGUUGGCAACUCGUGACAGAUUACACAAGUUUGGGAUUAUUGACACAACUUGUUGUUGCUUCUGCAGUGCUGAUGAAACUCAGCAGCACCUUAUGUUUGAUUGUAAUGAAACAAGAGAUAUUUGGAGAAAAGUCCUUGAAUGGAUUCAGAUUGCUCAUUAUCCAUUGGGCUGGUGUCAAGAAGUGGAGUGGAUUAUGAAGCAGACUAAAGGUAAAGGAGGUCGUGCAAAGAUCCUAAAAUUGGCCUUCACUGAAUGUGUCUAUGAGAUUUGGAGGUAUCGAAAUUAUAUUAGUUUUGGUAAUGCUGUACAGAACAAUCAUACUGAUAAGAAAAUUAUUGAUACUAUUGUCUAUAGGGGCUGGACCAAUAGAAAAUUAAGGACAUGCCUAGCUAAACUCAUGAUGUAAAUAGUCCUCUUCUUUGGUUGUUGUUUUUGUCGUUUUUGAUCCUGUGGACUGGAUCCUUGUGAUCGCCUUGUACCUCUGGUUUUUGAAUUAAUCAAAGUUUUCUUUUUGAUUCAAAAAAAGACAACCACAAUUUGCAUAGUUGUUUGCAUAGUAACAACUUUUUUAAUGUGAAGAAUAAAAUUUGCAAUCUUUGCAUUAGGUGUAAUAAACAUAUUAUUUCUUGGUUUAUUUGUGUUCAAAUUAUACUUAAAACAUUCCUUGUGAAAGCAACAUAGGGUCGUUUGUUUUGACUUUUUUAAAAAAUGAUUUUUAUAGUGUUAUAGUGUGGAAAAAAAAAUUUACAAAUAAACUUUUUAUAAAAGCUUCAAAUUAAAAUUUGAUUUGAAUAAGUAUUCUUAAAAUGUUAUUUUAGGUAUUUCAUCAUUUUAUUGAAAAAAAAUUGGAUAUCAAAAUUUCAAAAAAUCACUUAAUUUUGAAGCUAUUUCAAAUAGAUUUUCAUAAAUAUCAUUUUUGAAAUAUAACUUUUUGAAAAAAUUGCGAUUUUGACUAUGUUUUGAUCUUUAAUAAUAUAUGUUUAUAUCAUAUGAUGUCAAAAUUAGUGUUUUAAUUUAGAAAAAUAAAUAUAAAAAACUUGUAAUAUUUCGAAAAAAUGGUUUUAUAAAAUCUAUUUUUAAAAAUACAAAAAAAAAAUCCAUUUUUUUAAAACUGGAAUAAAUAGACCCGUAAUGUUAUGUUAUAACUUAUAAUCCUAGUAAUUAAAAAUAAUAUAAUACUAAAAAUAAUAAUGAGAGAAUGAGAGGUUUAAAUUUUAACAAAGCUGUUGGGAUACGUUAUAAAAUUUAAAUGCAGUCUCUACUCAUCAUGGUCUAGUUUAGACAAGUAUAUUACCAAUAUAUGAUGAGUAAUCGGUCAAUUUAGUCGCAAAAUUAUCACUCUCUCACCAACUUAGUCCCUAAACUAUUAAAAAUAACUAAAAGGUCCCUAAUCUAUUUUUCAUCCGUCAAUUUAGUCCUCGGUUAACUUGUCUAUAAAAUCCUAAAAUAUUAUUACCCUUUCUUCUUCCACGUGCUUCAACGGAAACAACCACCCUGCUCGCCGCCAACCACUCCACUCUCCGGCAACAACCGUUUUUCACGCAACAAAAAUAUAACCUCUAGUUGCGGCUAAAAACAGAUCCGUUUUUUGUUCUCACUUUUGUAAAUUUAUAAGGGUUUGUGAUUUUGUUUUAUCCCUUUGAAGUUUAUGCUGUGAUCUCUUGUUUUUUGCGGGUCUGGGAGUUUUUUAUCCUUCUACUCCUUUUCUUCUGUUAUUAUAAGGAAUGUUGUGGGGUGUGUUAGUGUGUAUAAUGAUGACAUAAAGGGUACAAAAAGUGUCAUUGUAUGUAGUAUGCUAACAAAGUCUUAUUAAAUUUCAAGCAUUGUAUGGUGAAUUAUCUUUGGAGGCUGGUGCAGCUUUUUUCAUCUAUGCUACUGUGUUAAGAAGUGCCUUGGAGAUAUUAUAACAUGUUUGUUAAGAAUCAUAAAAUGAUGUUUAUGAAGGACUAAAUUGAAGGAUGUAAAUAUAGUUUAGGGACUAAGUUGGUAAGAGAGUGAUAGUUUAGGGACUAAAUUGACUGAUUACUCAAUAUAUGAUAAUCAAUGUGAACGUCCCAGAUAAGUGGAUUUGGCUGCCUGACCCUAACUCGGGAUAUUCAAUGUGAGGCGCUUACAAUUAGUAACCCAAAUUGUUCUGUCUUGUAUGAGCAUAAAGAGAUUAUAUGGAAUAAACUUGCGCCUUUGAAGGUGUCAAUCUUUGCUUGGCGGUUUUUAAACAACAUAUCUCUGAAGGAGAGUAUGAGGCGGCAUGGAAUGACUCUUGCGGAUCUGACGGUGUGUACAAGUGGUUGUGGUGUAGCUGAAACUUCCAAUCACUUGUUUCUUUUGUUGUGCUUUUGCUCAAUCCCUUUGUAUUAAAAUUCUGUCUUGGAUGAGCAUUUAUAGUAUGUUACCAAAUGUUGUGGAGGAUCAUGCAUGCUUUGCAAUUUUAUAAUUCUUUUAUGUUUGGUAAAGAAGUUCGAAUGGAUAUUCAGGUUGUUUUGGUAUAGAUUUAGUAAAACUAAUGAUUUCAUAAAUUACUCGGUAACAUGAAAAAAUAAUUAGGAAAGAAAGAAAAAAAAUCAGUAAUUCAGUGUAGAGAAACUAAACGCAAGAUUUUGGUACCAUACACAGAACUAGGGUUGGGAACAGGCCAAGCCUUGAUAGGCCUGAGUUUGGCCUACGAUUUUUCUUUAGGCAUGAGCCUGGCCUGCGGCCUAUCAAAUGUUAUUUUUUUUGGCCUGGCCUGAGCUUUUUAAAAGUCUGGUCUGGCCUUGUAGCCUAUUUAAAAGUCUGUGUUACAUUAAAACUUCUCUAUAUAGUCUUUUUAAAUAGGUUAACCAGGCCUUAAAAAGUUCAUAUUUAAAUUUUUAUAAUUUCUACAACAUUAAAAAAAAGCUAAUAAUAUGAUUAGCACAAUAAUUAAAAACUAAUAAAAUAACAAAUAUGAUUACGACAAAGUCGCCAUAAUACAAAUUGUUCGCUAAGUGUAGUCAGCAACAAGCCAACAACCAAAAUAUAGGAUGAGUUGCUACUUGCUUGAGAGAAUGAGAGAUGGAAUGAAGGUAGGGUUUCUAUUUUUAAUUUAUAUGCGUGAAAUAUAAAAACAAAUAUAUUUUCACUGUUUUAUUAAAAAAAAAAAAACUCUGAUAUUUUGUAUUUACAUAAAUAAUAUUUUUUUAUAAGAUAUAAAUAAUUAUUAUUAUAAACAGGACGGCCUAUCAGACUUUGUAGGCCUUUUUAGAAGCCCAAGCCUGACCUAUUUAUGUAAACAAACCGUUUUCAAAGCCUGACAUUUUUAAUAAUCAGGUCAAGCCAGACUUAUACAAGUCAGGCCGAAGACCCCUAUAGACCGCCUGGCCUAUUCCCAACCCAGAACAGAACAAUUCUCAGAAUAUUCUUAUGAGCUGCAAAAUGCAAAUCCAUCUUGUGGUACAAAAAAAAAACAAGUGCAUUAAACAGUCACAACUCACAACAAUUAAUAUAUAGCCACCUAAAUUCAUUCACUCUCCUUUAUUCNNNNNNNNNNNNNNNNNNNAAUCCAAGCCAAAAACCAAUUUUGAGAGCACUUUGAGAUACCCAUUUGGCUUCUUUUUCUUGUGAACAAGUUUUUUCUUUCUGGGUCAUUGAAAUUUUUCACAUUCUCUUUCUCACCUUUCAUAGAAAAAAAUGUCUAACAUUGUUAUUGUUUUCGACUUUGACAAAACCAUCAUUGAUUGUGACAGUGAUAACUGGUUGAUUGAUGAAUUGGGUUUCACUGAUUUGUUCAAUCAACUCCUUCCCACAAUGCCAUGGAAUUCUGUCAUGGUAUGUUUUUUAUACUCUGCAUGUGCUCUGUUUUUAUAAAUACUCUGUUUUCUGCAUUGUCUCAAUUUGCAUAAAUAAAUAACUUUGAUUAUUGUGUUUAUGUUAUUGAAUUAUAGGACAAAAUGAUGAUGGAGUUUCAUGCAAAUGGUGUAACAAUUGAAGAGAUUGAAAAGGUUCUUCAUAGGAUUCCAAUUCAUCACAGAAUAGUACCUGCAAUUAAAGCAGCUUAUGCUUUAGGGUGNNNNNNNNNNNNNNNNAGAAGGAAGGGUUAGAAUUUCACCUUACCAUGACUUCAACAAAUGUUCACAUGGUUGCACUCUUUGCCCUCCAAACAUGUGCAAGGUAUAUUCUUUUAUAGUUGUUUUUUUGUUUCUUAUUAGAAGCCAAUAGAUUUUAUGGAAAUAUAUAAUAAUGAAUAAUUUUUAUGUAGGAUCGCUAGUUUAAAAUUAAAUUAAAUUAAAAAAAUUGGAGUGAAGAUUCAAUUCUUCACAAAUUUCAUAUGGGACAAUUCAGUCCCCACAAAAGUAAAACCCAAAUUAGUCCUGAUUUUUAAUAUUUUGCGACAAAUUAGUCUCUCUAUUAGAAUAAAUCAGAGACUAGUUUGUCUUCAAUAUGAAAAUGUUAAAAAUUAAUAUGUUUUGUGGAAUGAAUUGUCCCGUCAAAAUUUUGUGAGAGAUCAAAAUGGGUCUUCACUCAAAAAAUUAUGCCGUGACUAUAAGCAUAAUUCAGUUGUUAAGAAUAUUAUCAAAAAAAAAAAUUAAAAAAUUAUGGAAAUUAAUUUAUAUAUGAUAGAAUAUACUUAAUUCACUUAAGAUUGAAAUUCUAAUCAUCAAUCUACUUGACAAAAAAUAAAAUAUGAAAAUUAAUUUAUAUGAUAGAAUAUACUUAAUUUUUUUAAUCAUUAUUUCAGGGUUUAAUCAUUGAUAGAAUUCAAAAUACAAUUUCUGAGGUGGAUAAGAAGAGGUUCAUCUACCUUGGUGAUGGUGCUGGUGAUUAUUGUCCUAGUUUGAGGCUUAGAGAAAGAGACUUUGUGAUGCCAAGGAAGAAUUUUCCAAUAUGGGAUUUGAUAUGCAAAGAUCCUUUACUUAUUAAGGCUGAAAUUAAUGGUUGGAGUGAUGGAG